rnacentral:rRNA from 1 species
GAGAGAGACAUGCGCGCAUAUCAAUAAGCGGAGGAAAAGAAACUAACAAGGAUUCCCUGAGUAACGGCGAGUGAAGCGGGAAGAGCUCAAAUUUGAAAUCUUCAAGGUUCUACCUUGACGAAUUGUAGUUUAUAGAAGUGUUUUCUGUUAGUGGAGUGGCAAAAGUUCUUUGGAAUAGGACAUCAUAGAGGGUGAGAAUCCCGUAUUUGGUCAUUCCUCCUAGCGUUGUGAUACACUUUCAUCGAGUCGGAUUGUUUGGGAAUGCAGUCCAAAAUGGGUGGUAAAUUUCAUCUAAAGCUAAAUAUUGGCGAGAGACCGAUAGCGAACAAGUACCGUGAGGGAAAGAUGAAAAGAACUUUGAAAAGAGAGUUAAACAGUACGUGAAAUUGUCAAAAGGGAAGCGUUUGACACCAGUGUUGUUUUUCCGAAAAUCAAUUACGAAUGUUUUAUUUUUGAGGAGUUAUGACUUCAUCGGCUUGCUCCUUUCUUUAUGAAACUUUCUUAAUGCACUUUUCGGUUAACAAGUCAACAUCAAUUUCUUUUGUUGUAAAAGGGUAUGAGGAAGGUGGCUUUCUUUUCGGAGAAAGUGUUUAUAGCCUUGUGCCUCUGCAAUCGGAGAGAUUGAGGUCUGCAGCGUAGAUCCUUCGGGGUUAGAUACAGUUUGUGCUAAGUUAUAGCUUUUCAUAGACAACUUGUUGACUAUGUUUAGUCUUGUAGCUUACUCGCUGACUGCUAUUUUACCUACGCUUAGGAUGUUGAUAGUCACAGCGUGUAC